GAGUUUGAUCCUGGCUCAGAUUGAACGCUGGCGGCAUGCCUUACACAUGCAAGUCGAACGGCAGCACGGGUGCUUGCACCUGGUGGCGAGUGGCGAACGGGUGAGUAAUACAUCGGAACAUGUCCUGUAGUGGGGGAUAGCCCGGCGAAAGCCGGAUUAAUACCGCAUACGAUCUACGGAUGAAAGCGGGGGACCUUCGGGCCUCGCGCUACAGGGUUGGCCGAUGGCUGAUUAGCUAGUUGGUGGGGUAAAGGCCUACCAAGGCGACGAUCAGUAGCUGGUCUGAGAGGACGACCAGCCACACUGGGACUGAGACACGGCCCAGACUCCUACGGGAGGCAGCA
rnacentral:rRNA from 1 species